GACUUUGGGGCUGUUUCUUGAAGUGGGUUUGAGCCAUUUUGAGAAAUUGGGCGUGGUUUUGAGGUUCGAGGAGAAAGAAUUAGAAGCAAAUGGAAGGGAUUUGGCGAUUGGUAUGUUGUGGGUUUUGACGGGCUUUUGAAGGGUAUGGGUGGAUAACGGAGGGGAGAAGUGAAUGAAAAGAUUGGUGAAGUCAGUCUGGAUUAAUGGGUGAUAUUGAUUACGGGGAUCUGGAGAUGGGAGGCCUAAAGAUGCACAGAUAUUGGCAUCCAUUGCUACAGUAUAGAGAAAGCUUCUUUUGCUAUCGCCGCUGCUUACUGGCUCAUCCCAAGUUUUG
rnacentral:misc_RNA from 1 species